CUAGUACUCCCUCCGUCCCGAAAUACUUAUCGCACAAAUAGAUAAAAUCAAAAGUAUCUAGAACUAAAAUACGUCUAGAUACAUCCAUUUCUCUGACAAGUAUUUCCGGACGGAGGGAGUAGAAA
rfam:Triticum aestivum genome assembly, contig: Triticum_aestivum_CS42_TGACv1_scaffold_621636_7DS